rnacentral:rRNA from 1 species
CCUACGGGUGGCUGCAGUGGGGAAUCUUCCACAAUGGGCGAAAGCCUGACGGAGCAACGCCGCGUGAUCGAAUGAAGGCCUUAGGGUUGUAAAGAUCUGUUGACAGGGACGCAUAAGCAAUGCAAAUAGUUUUGUGUAUGACGGUACCUGUUGAGAAAGCUCAGGCUAACUACGUGCCAGCAGCCGCGGUAAUACGUAGGGAGCAAGCGUUGUCCGGAUGUACGGGGCGGAAAGGGCGAGUAGGUGGGCGCCUAAGUCAGGUGUGAAAACUCCGGGCUCAACCUGGAGACUGCACUUGAAACUGGGUGUCUUGAGGGCAGUAGAGGAAAGUGGAAUUCCUAGUGUAGCGGUGAAAUGCGUAGAUAUUAGGAGGAACACCAGUGGCGAAGGCGACUUUCUGGACUGUACCUGACGCUGAGGCGCGAAAGCGUGGGUAGCGAACGGGAUUAGAUACCCCUGUAGUC